rnacentral:rRNA from 1 species
AUUGAAACGACACACAGCUCAUGUGAUGCCCUGGCAGUCAGAGGCGAUGAAGGACGUGCUAAUCUGCGAAAAGCGCCGGCGAGGUGAUAUGAACCCUUGACCCGGCGAUGUCCGAAUGGGGAAACCCAGUGCAAUCCGUUGCACUAUCGUUAACUGAAUACAUAGGUUAACGAGGCGAACCGGGGGAACUGAAACAUCUAAGUACCCCGAGGAAAAGAAAUCAACCGAGAUUCCCCCAGUAGCGGCGAGCGAACGGGGAGCAGCCCGGAGUCUGAAUCAGCUUGUGUGUUAGUGGAACGGUCUGGAAAGUCCGACGGUACAGGGUGAUAGUCCCGUACACGAAAGCACACUUGCUGUGAACUCGAAGAGUAGGGCGGGACACGUGGUAUCCUGUCUGAAUAUGGGGGGACCAUCCUCCAAGGCUAAAUACUCCUGACUGACCGAUAGUGAACCAGUACCGUGAGGGAAAAGAACCCCGGCGAGGGGAGUGAAAAAGAACCUGAAACCGUGUACGUACAAGCAGUGGGAGCCUCUUUAUGGGGUGACUGCGUACCUUUUGUAUAAUGGGUCAGCGACUUAUAUUCUGUAGCAAGGUUAACCGUAUAGGGGAGCCGAAGGGAAACCGAGUCUUAACUGGGCGUUAAGUUGCAGGGUAUAGACCCGAAACCCGGUGAUCUAGCCAUGGGCAGGUUGAAGGUUGGGUAACACUAACUGGAGGACCGAACCGACUAAUGUUGAAAAA